rnacentral:rRNA from 1 species
UGGGGAAUAUUGGACAAUGGGCGAAAGCCUGAUCCAGCCAUGCCGCGUGUGUGAAGAAGGUCUUCGGAUUGUAAAGCACUUUAAGUUGGGAGGAAGGGCAGUAAGCGAAUACCUUGCUGUUUUGACGUUACCGACAGAAUAAGCACCGGCUAACUCUGUGCCAGCAGCCGCGGUAAUACAGAGGGUGCAAGCGUUAAUCGGAAUUACUGGGCGUAAAGCGCGCGUAGGUGGUUCGUUAAGUUGAAUGUGAAAGCCCCGGGCUCAACCUGGGAACUGCAUCCAAAACUGGCGAGCUAGAGUAGGGCAGAGGGUGGUGGAAUUUCCUGUGUAGCGGUGAAAUGCGUAGAUAUAGGAAGGAACACCAGUGGCGAAGGCGACCACCUGGGCGCAUACUGACACUGAGGUGCGAAAGCGUGGGGAGCAAACAGG